GACGAACGCUGGCGGCGUGCUUAACACAUGCAAGUCGAACGGAAAGGCCCUGCUUUUGUUGGUUGCUCGAUUGGCUAACGUGUGAGUAACACGUGUGUAACCUGCCCUUGACUUUGUGAUAUCUUCAGGAAACUGGGGCUAAUACCGGAUAGUAUCUCCUGCUGCUUGGUGUGUGUUUGAAAGUUUCGGCGGUUGGGGAUUGACUCGCGGCUUAUCAGCUUGUUGGUGGGGUAGUGGCUUACCAAGGCUUUGACGGGUAGCCGGCCUGAGAGGGUGACCGGACAAAUUGGGACUGAGAUACGGACCAGACUCCUACGGGAGGCAGCAGUGGGGAAUAUUGCACAAUGGGAGGAAGCCUGAUGCAGCAACGCAGCGUGCGGGAUGACGGCCUUCGGGUUGUAAACCGCUUUCGCAUGUGACGAAGCGUGAGUGACGGUAAUGGGUAAAGAAGCACCGGCUAACUACGUG
rnacentral:rRNA from 1 species